GAUGAACGCUAGCUACAGGCUUAACACAUGCAAGUCGAGGGGUAACGAGAGGAAAGCUUGCUUUCCUUGUCGACGACCGGCGCACGGGUGAGUAACGCGUAUCCAACCUGCCCCCAACUAGGGAAUAACCUUGCGAAAGUAAGACUAAUACCCUAUAAUUUCCUCAGAUGUCAUCUGACGAGGAAUAAAGAUUUAUCGGUUGUGGAUGGGGAUGCGUCUGAUUAGCUUGUUGGCGGGGUAACGGCCCACCAAGGCAACGAUCAGUAGGGGUUCUGAGAGGAAGGUCCCCCACAUUGGAACUGAGACACGGUCCAAACUCCUACGGGAGGCAGCAGUGAGGAAUAUUGGUCAAUGGGCGGAAGCCUGAACCAGCCAAGUAGCGUGCAGGAUGACGGCCCUAUGGGUUGUAAACUGCUUUUAUACAGGAAUAAAGUUAGCCACGUGUGGUUAUUUGUAGGUACUGUAUGAAUAAGGACCGGCUAACUCUGUGCCAGCCGCCGCAGUAA
rnacentral:rRNA from 1 species